GAUUGAACGCUGGCGGCAGGCCUAACACAUGCAAGUCGAACGGUAACAGGAAGAAGCUUGCUUCUUUGCUGACGAGUGGCGGACGGGUGAGUAAUGUCUGGGAAACUGCCUGAUGGAGGGGGAUAACUACUGGAAACGGUAGCUAAUACCGCAUAACGUCGCAAGACCAAAGAGGGGGACCUUCGGGCCUCUUGCCAUCGGAUGUGCCCAGAUGGGAUUAGCUAGUAGGUGGGGUAACGGCUCACCUAGGCGACGAUCCCUAGCUGGUCUGAGAGGAUGACCAGCCACACUGGAACUGAGACACGGUCCAGACUCCUACGGGAGGCAGCAGUGGGGAAUAUUGCACAAAGGGCGCAAGCCUGAUGCAGCCAUGCCGCGUGUAUGAAGAAGGCCUUCGGGUUGUAAAGUACUUUCAGCGGGGAGGAAGGGAGUAAAGUUAAUACCUUUGCUCAUUGACGUUACCCGCAGAAGAAGCACCGGCUAACUCCGUG
rnacentral:rRNA from 1 species